GAAACUGUCAGGUUGCCGUCUAGGUAGCGGUUGUGCUUGCUGAGGCUGCACUUGCUGACACUGCAGCUGCGACGCGGCUAAGAGGCGCAGAGCGAGGAGUCGGGAUUUGGUCGCGAGCGGCGACGAGCAUUUGUGCAGAAUGUCAUCAGAUGAGGAGAAAUACUCACUUCCAGUUGUGCAAAAUGACUCCAGUCGAGGCAGUUCUGUCUCUUCGAAUCUUCAGGAAGAAUAUGAAGAACUGCUUCAUUAUGCUAUAGUGACUCCAAAUAUUGAACCCUGUGCUUCACAGUCAUCUCAUCCUAAGGGAGAAUUGGUGCCAGAUGUCAGAAUUUCUACAAUUCAUGAUAUUCUUCAUAGUCAAGGAAAUAACUCUGAAGUAAGAGAAACUGCAAUAGAAGUUGGAAAAGGAUGUGAUUUCCAUAUUUCAAGUCAUUCAAAGACAGAUGGUAUGAUUUUUCUUUAGCUUAUUUGUAUUAAUAUACAACAUUUUGUGGUUUGAUGAAUAUUAUCUAUGUAGUAAGAGGAAUAAUUUCAGCAUAUUAUUUAUUAGCAGGAUUUUAAAAUGCUAUUAUUGCUA
rnacentral:lncRNA from 1 species